AGUGAGCCCAGUCAUUAGAUGCAUCAUUCUGAAAUGUGAAUAUUAUUGACCAAAAGAGAGGAACUCGAGCAUCAUAGAUGGAUGAGAAGGGCUUAGAAACAGUUAAUCAAAGAAGGGAAGAACAUGAAGCAUGGAAGGAAGCUCUAGAGAAGAAUCCAGCCAGGUCAGCCAACCAACCUCCAUGCUUCUCUGAAGAAAGAGGGUGCAAAGGCAGAACAGCUGUCCAGUGAACUAGAAGAAAUAGCCCUGAAGAUAGCUUUGUGUCUGAUAUGACUUUGAGAAGGAAAAUCAUCCCAAAGAUAAAUGCUUCAAAUGAAGUUUCUAAGGGAUAGAAUAAAUGUAUAUAUA